AAUGCAUGAUGAAGAACAGUGUGGAGACUUCGCUGCAGGACUAGAAGUGUUUGGAGUAAAACCUGGCGUUGCUUGUUUUUCUGGUAUUGAUGCGGCUGAAACCUAUUCCAAACAUGGUCCAGUAUCGGGAGAGUGUACUGAAUUUGAUCGACACGUGUUUGCUUACAUCAAAAGAAGUGUAACAUGCCAAAAGGAGAUGAUGAAUCUCGAAUGUAAUUAUGGUAAAAUCCGCAUUUUAUCUGCAGUAUACGGGCAUGGCGGCGAUCUUGAUGUUUGUGGUAACGAAGUGAAUGGUCCAAUUCAAUGUGAGUUCGACGUAGUGGACAUAGUAAAGGACAUAUGCGAAGGUAAACCAACGUGUUCGAAAAACACCGUCAUGAAAGUAUAUGGUAAUCCAUGUGCUUCGGAAGAUGGUCACCAGGAUAAAUACCUUGAAGUCAAAUAUUAUUGUGGACAGUAACUUCCAUCAAAACCAACAGCCACCACUAUUUAGGGUAACCGUUGUAAUAGCUAAAGUACAUCAACCUAAGUUAGAAUAAUCAUCCGAGAUGCAUCACUACGUUAACAGACGAUAAUAUGAUCGCUAAUUUUCUCUGAACAUUAACAGCUCGCGUAAUUAUUCAACAAUUCCAUUCGUUAGCAAAAUUAACUUAGUGUAACCAUUUGAAUAUACUGAAUAAAAACCUUUUCCCAGCCA